rnacentral:rRNA from 1 species
AGAGUUUGAUCAUGGCUCAGGAUGAACGCUAGCGGGAGGCUUAACACAUGCAAGUCGAGGGGCAGCACGGGGUAGCAAUACUCUGGUGGCGACCGGCAAACAGGUGAGUAACGCGUAUGUAACCUACCCUGUACAGGGGGAUAACCCGGAGAAAUUCGGACUAAUAUCCCAUAACAAUAUUCAGAGGCAUCUUUGGAUAUUUAAAGUUCCGGCGGUACGGGAUGGGCGUGCGUAACAUUAGCUAGUUGGUAAGGUAACGGCCUACCAAGGCUUUGAUGUUUAGGGGUCCUGAGAGGGUGGUCCCCCACACUGGUACUGAGACACGGACCAGACUCCUACGGGAGGCAGCAGUGAGGAAUAUUGGUCAAUGGGCGCAAGCCUGAACCAGCCAUCCCGCGUGCAGGAAGACGGCCCUAUGGGUUGUAAACUGCUUUUCCAGGGAGAGAAACUUGCGCACGUGUUGCGCAAUUGACGGUACCCUGGGAAUAAGCAUCGGCUAACUCCGUGCCAGCAGCCGCGGUAAUACGGAGGAUGCGAGCGUUAUCCGGAUUCAUUGGGUUUAAAGGGUGCGUAGGCGGACUAUUAAGUCAGUGGUGAAAUCCUGCAGCUUAACUGCAGAACUGCCAUUGAUACUGAUAGCCUUGAGUUUGGUUAAGGUAGGCGGAAUGUGUAAUGUAGCGGUGAAAUGCUUAGAUAUUACACAGAACACCAAUUGCGUAGGCAGCUUACUGAGCCGACACUGACGCUGAGGCACGAAAGCGUGGGGAUCGAACAGGAUUAGAUACCCUGGUAGUCCACGCCGUAAACUAUGAUUACUCGCUGUUGGCGAUACACUGUCAGCGGCUAAGCAAAAGCAAUAAGUAAUCCACCUGGGGAGUACGGCCGCAAGGGUUGAAACUCAAAGGAAUUGACGG